rnacentral:pre_miRNA from 1 species
CAAGUACUCCCUCCGUCCGGAAUUACUUGUCAUCAAAAUGGAUGUGUCUAGAACUAAAAUACAUCUAGAUACAUCCAUUUCGAUGACAAGUAUUUUCGGAUGGAGGGAGUACAAG